GAUGAACGCUAGCGGCAGGCUUAACACAUGCAAGUCGAGGGGCAGCACUUGUAGCAAUACAUGGUGGCGACCGGCGCAAGGGUGCGUAACGCGUGAGCAACAUGCCCGUAUCAGGGGGAUAAUCCAGGGAAACUUGGUCUAAUACCCCAUAGCAAUUAUUUGAGGCAUCUUAAAUAAUUUAAAGCUUUGGUGGAUACGGAUUGGCUCGCGUGACAUUAGCUAGAUGGUAAGGUAACGGCUUACCAUGGCUACGAUGUCUAGGGGUUUUGAGAGGAAGAUCCCCCACACUGGAACUGAGACACGGUCCAGACUCCUACGGGAGGCAGCAGUGAGGAAUAUUGGACAAUGGAUGGAAAUCUGAUCCAGCCAUGCCGCGUGCAGGAAGACGGCCCUAUGGGUUGUAAACUGCUUUUGUGUGGGAGCAAUAAGGUCUAUGCGUAGACUGAUGAGAGUACCAUACGAAUAAGCAUCGGCUAACUCCGU
rnacentral:rRNA from 1 species